CUGUGAGUUUAACACUUCAUGACUGAGAGCAGAACAGAACACAAUCUUCAUCAUCACACAAGACAAAACAACAACAAUGAACAACAUAAUCAUCUUCAUCUGGACCAUUGCAGCUUCUAUGCAAGAAUCCAGAGGAGUCACUUUGACUCAGCUUAAAGUUAAAACUGUCCAACAGGGUCAAACAGCUACAAUAGAGUGUCAUAUAGAUGUCAAAAUAUCCAGUAAUGGCUUAGCCUGGUAUCAGCAGAAACCUGGAGAAGCUCCUAAACUCCUCAUAUACCACAUAAACACUCUGCAGUCAGGAACUCCAUCUAGAUUCAGUGGCAGUGGAUCUUACUCUGGAAGUGUAUUUUACUUUCACCAUCAGUGGUGUCCAAAGUGAAGAUACAGGAGAUUAUUACUGUCAGGAGUGAACACAGCAAUUUAAUAGUAAAUAUGUGUUCAAGCAGAAACCUAGGAGAAGACUCCUAAACUACCUCAUAUACCACAUAAACACUCUGCAGUCAGGAACUCCAUCUAGAUUCAUGGCAGUGGAUCUUACUCUGGAAGUGAUUUACUUUUCACCAUCAGUGGUGUCCAAAGUGAAGAUACAGGAGAUUAUUACUGUCAGAGUGAACACAGCAUUAAUAGUAAAUAUGUGUCAACACAGUGAUAAAGAGUCGUACAAAAACUUCAGUUAGUCAGGGUCACAUUGACUGCACUGAUACAGCUGAGAGAUACUGCAGCUGUACAAAAUAAUGGGCCCUAUCAUACACCCAGCUCAAUGCGAUGCCAGGUGCAAUACAAGUGUUUUGUUGCUAGUCUCAGCCCAAUGCAGUUAUCAUUUUCACAUUCAGCACCAUGUUGUUGAGCCACUUGCACCCAUAUAUUCGCUCAUGGGCAUGCUGGUUUGAAAACGAGGUGUGUUCAGGUGCAUUGCACCAUUGACUAACUAAAACCUGGUCUAAAGUCAAUGAUGCAGUAUUUUCAUUUAUUUAUUUACAGGGUGCGUUAUUAAUAUGCGCCUACAGGCAGGUGAACAACAUACGUACCCUCUGCUUAAACCUUGUGCACAAACAGAUUCGUUUCCUCUCUGGAGAAGUGUUCAGUCUUUGCUCUUGCAAAUUCCGCCAUGUAAAUAGCGAAUCCACCAUAGUGAAAGCACAGCUGGCUUUUUUUAAAGGGAAUGGGAGAUGAUUGGUUUAUUGCAAGUUACACCCAAAACACACCCAUGACUCAUUAAAAGAAUAGGUACAACCCUUUUUGGACCAUGUGCCUGGUGCUCCGACCAUUUUUCCUGUCAUUAAACUAGCAAAAGUGGAUUCGUACAUGCCCUAAAGUGCACCUGCGCCGUGCGGGGGUUGGUUGAGUCACAGCUUGUAAGAUUCAGGCACAGCAUGAGCUCCGGUAAUGAACACGGAAGGGAAGAGGAGAGAGCAAAACAAAACAAGCAAGAGAUUACAGUUUAUACAGUUUUAAAUAUGGAUAUUUUUCUUACACAAACGCAUUGCUUCACUUCAGAUAGACAUCAAAGGGGGCUUUAGCACCUCCCCUUUUUCUUCCUCGAGAGAAAGUGCCCUUUUUUUCUGGGGUAGUUUUUAUUUUAUUUUUAUUUUUAUAAAUGUAUAUAUGUUUUUAUGCGCACAGUCUUUCUUUGUCAAACUAAUAAAAAUGUAAUAAAAUGUUGUGAAAUAUAAUGUGAAAUAUAAUGAAAUGUUCAGACUCUGUCGGGUUCCGAUGCCUUUCUCCCCUCUGCUCAGGCGCAGCACAGCAGUGUAGCACACAUUGAUCGACACAUGCACAUCACAGACAGGCAGAUAGCCGCAGAAGUGAAGCCCUCCCUCCCUUUCCAGUUGAGUUUGUCUUGGUGUGGAGGUGAGUGGUGAUAAACGAAAGACUAAGCUACCUAAAAGACAAAAGGCAAUUAUGGUUAAUUUGUCUUGCUAACAUCCAUGACUCACGAGAGAGCUACCAUGUAAGUUAGCUAAAGUUUAGCUAAGGCAAUAGGAAGUCUAGUAGGUUACACCAGUGUGCGUUCUUUCACUGCAUGAUUCAGUUUAUUAAAAUGCAUUUAGAAUGAUCCCAAAAUUCAAGACAUGGGGGCAGAAAUGUAUAUAUUUAUAUCAUUUCAUAUAGUUAAUCAGUA
rnacentral:lncRNA from 1 species